GCCUGGGUGGUGGAAUUGGUAGACACCAGGGACUUAAAAUCCCUUGAUCGCAAGGUCGUGCGGGUUCAAAUCCCGCCCCAGGUACCA
rnacentral:tRNA from 1 species